UGGAUACUCAUAGAGGUCAGACAGUUAUGUGACUAGCAGAGAGCCUCAUCUCUUUCAGAUUCAAUUUUGAAAAAAGAAAUUGCAAUACAAGUAUAUGAUUUCAUCACAAUCUAAAACUCAGUAUAUAUCAAUUUCAGCAUAUGAAAUAGAUCCAUAUGAUUUUAUAUUUUUAUGCAUGCAAAAUUCAGAUUAAAAUUAUUUUAAUCUUAAUCUCU
rnacentral:lncRNA from 1 species